CGCCCUUAGAGUUUGAUCCUGGCUCAGAAUGAACGUUGGCGGCGUGGAUUAGGCAUGCAAGUCGUACGGGCCGCAAGGCCAGUGGCGCAAGGGUGAGUAAGGCGACGGUAACCAACCCCAUGACUGGGUAUAGCCGCGGGAAACUGCGGGUAAUCCCCAGCGAUGUCGAUCGAGGGCAUCCUUGGUCGACCAAAGCUCCGGCGUCGUGGGACGGGCUGUCGUGGUAUUAGGUUGUUGGCGGGGUAACGGCCCACCAAGCCUGCGAUGCCUACCGGGCGUGCGAGCGUGGCCCGGCACACUGGGACUGAGACACUGCCCAGACUCCUACGGGAGGCUGCAGUCGAGAAUCUUCGGCAAUGGGCGCAAGCCUGACCGAGCGACGCCGCGUGGAGGAUGAAGGCCUUCGGGUUGUAAACUCCUGUCGAGGGGGAAGAAGGGUCGAAAGGCCUUGACUGAUCCCUGGAGGAAGCACGGGCUAAGUUCGUGCCAGCAGCCGCGGUAAGACGAACCGUGCGAACGUUAUUCGGAAUCACUGGGCUUAAAGCGCGUGUAGGCGGGACGGCACGUCGGUCGCUGAAAUCCCCCGGCUCAACCGGGGGAACGGGCGCCGAUACGACCGUCCUGGAGGGACGUAGGGGGACCUGGAACUUCCGGUGGAGCGGUGAAAUGCGUUGAGAUCGGAAGGAACGCCCGUGGCGAAAGCGAGUCCUGGACGUUUUCUGACGCUGAGACGCGAAAGCCAGGGGAGCGAACGGGAUAGAUACC
rnacentral:rRNA from 1 species